AUUUUUAGGAAGUUUUACUUGAAAUCCAAAUGAAAAUGAUUAUAAAUCAAUGAAAUUGAUGGAGUUUGGAUUGGAAUCCAAGUGACAAGUAUUAAUUAAUCACUGAAAUUACUAAAUCAUACAAAUCAUCAGCCUUGAUACUGCCUCGAUUAAUUAAGGGUCGUGGUCAAACUUCAGAUGAAGAAACGGGUAUGAAGGAGCCAGUCCUUUUAAGCACGUGAAAGUCAUCACUGCAUCUUUGAAACGUAACUGACGGGAAGCCAAUUUACUUGACGUAACACUGGUGUUAAAUGGUCAUAUUUGCCUUUCGCAGUCACUAUUCUUGCAGGAAAGUUGUGUACACGUUGCAGUUUGGCGACAUUCUUGUUUCGUGUAUUCGCCUAAACAGAAGAAGAGUAAUGUACGUAAUCUGCUGGAUACUAAAGCGUUAGUUUAUUAUUGUCACAAGGGUAUGGUCAUCUAGGAUAUGUUUAAUUCGGUUAAUUUGACACAGAGAUUUCAUACAUUU
rnacentral:lncRNA from 1 species